GUAGGUGAACCUGCGGAAGGAUCAUUAACACGUCUUUAUAUCCAAUAUAUAAACUAAACGCGAACUAACCCCCCGCCCUAUCAUUAUUACACUGUCAAAGUUAAUUGGAUUAAUAACCCUAUUAAUUCUGACUGAUGGUAGGCAAUUUUAUUACCAAUCAUUUUAAACUCUUAUAACCUAGUUGAUCUAACUACUAAGACAUUCUAGUAUUCAUUCUUUCAGCAAUGAUGGUAUGAAUACUGCUUGUUGUUAUAUUACGAAAUGUAAGAACAACUCUUAGCAAUGGAUAUCUUGGUUCUC
rnacentral:misc_RNA from 1 species